ACUCCCAGUGGUACCCAGUAAGGUCCCAGUAAGGUCCCAGCAGCACCCAUUAAGAGCCCAGUAAGGUCCCAGCAGCACCCAGUAAGGUCCCAAGGCACCCAGUUACUCCCAGUGACACCCUGUUACUCCCAGUGACACCCAGUAAGGUCUCAGUGACACCCAGUAAGGCCCCAGUUAGGUCCCAGGGCACCCAGGAAGGUCCCAGUGAGGUCCCAGGGCACCCAGUUACUCCCAGUGACACCCAGUAAGGUCCCAGUGACACCCAGUAAGGUCCCAGUGAGGUCCCAGAGCACCCAGUCACUCCCAGUGGCACCCAGCAAGGUCCCAGCAGCACGCAGUGAGCCCAGUAAGCUCCCACUGACACCCAGUAAGAGCCCAGUAAGAUCCCAGCAGCAUGCAGUGAGGUCCCAGUAGCACUCAGUCGCUCCCAGUAAGACCCCAGCAACCCCCCACUGACAUCCCCAUGACAUGCCCCAGUCCCCCCAGCCCCUCCCAGCCCCCCCCAGUCCCUCCUAGUCCUCCCAGUCCCCCCCAACGACACCAGUAGGGGCCACCCCACCGGGCCAGGGUCACCCUGUGGGUCUCGGAGCUGCUGUGGGUUGCGGUGUUGCUAUGGGUCACGGUACCUCUAUGGGUCUCAGAACCGCUAUGGGUCAUGGUGCUGCGGGUGACAGUGUUGCUAUGGGUCACGGUGCCUCUAUGGGUCGCGGUGCUGUGGGUCGCAGUACCCCUAUGGGUCGCGGUACCUCUACGGGUCGCAGUGCCUCCAUGGGUCACGGUGCUGUGGGUCACGGUACCUCUAUGGGUCGCGGUGCCCCUAUGGGUCGUGGUGCUGUGGGUCACGGUACCUCUAUGGGUCACGGUACCCCUAUGGGUUGCGGUACUGUGGGUGACGGCGCCUCCAUGGGUCGUGGUGCCCCUACGGGUCGCGGUGCCUCCAUGGGUCACAUUACCUCCAUGGGUCACAUUACCUCUAUGGGUUGCGUUACCUCUAUGGGUCGCGUUACCUCCAUGGGUCGCGGUGCCUCCAUGGGCGGCGGUGCCGCGGGUGACGUGGGGCUGGGUGCGGUGCCCGCAGUUCCGCUCGUGCAUGCUGAAGCUGGUGUUCUGCGGGAGGAGCCCCUUCGGGGACGAGGACGACGUCUCGGGCUCC
ensembl:lncRNA